ensembl:lncRNA
UGUGAACUGAGGGUGUGCAACCACUGGGGGCACUUCUGGAGGAAAUGAUGGGGUCACCGUGUUCCAGAUAGGGUAGGUUGGUUGGAGGUGCAAGCUGUGGAGGAAAGGGGAUGCUUGAGCAGAGAGCAUCAAUUAAAAUAAAUCGUUUAAGAUAAACGCUGUCUCUGCGCCCCCGGCCCAUCUGAACCCUGGGCGCCCCGCGCCACGUGAGAUGUGCGUCUUUCUGGGCUAAAACAUCCAAUGAACGCAUCGUGUCCCUUUCUCUACACCAAUAAUUAAUAUUCUUGUACACACUAUUAUUAAUAACAUGAGUGUGGAGAGUGACGUUCUCGAGGUGAGGUGGGGGGGGAUUUGCGUUGCCGUGGCAACCGUCGCCGCGUCGCGUCUUCCCGCACUGGGAGACACAGAUUACACAAACAAACGGCACGUCCCUCUUCUACCGUUGGAGGCCCAGUAUUAUUGAAAGGUGCGUUUUUUUUCGCUCUUAAACACGCGCGAGAGAAGUAAAAGCGCUUUCGGCAGAGGCUCUUUCGCUUCCCAAUGCUCAUGUAUACAAACUUAUUUUAGUAACGUGGUAAAAAGUGUGGUUUUCGAUUUACUACACACCGAAUUCAAAGAACAGUUUGAGUAAAUUCGGUUGUGUGUCACUUUAAUGCCAGGACAGCACUUGGGUUUAUUUUACUAGUAUAGCGGGUUUACCUGUAGAGAACAGUUUACCUGGUCCAUCGUAAAAUUUAAACAUGUCUGUUGUUCUAAAAUAGCCUCCAAACAAAGUAAUGUUGUCUGAAGGAAGCGCCAGGUGUUUUACAGAAUUGUUAUGCGUAUUUCAAGAUUCGAUGUAAGUUAAUGUUAUUGAUCAGUGUAAAAGAGCUGAGUUUGUUUUGUAAAGGUGAGCAAUGAAAGAGGAGAACUCUGUGUUUAAGGAGAUCUCUUUGCAUAAGGUCUCAUUGUGUUAUGGCAGCUCUGCAUGUUUUUGUGAGGAUGGAUGGGAGCCAGACGCACCAGGAUCAGCGUCAUGGUUUGGGAGUGUUUCACCGAUAUUCACCGAGCAAGAGCUCCGACCACAGGCUCUCACAGCCCCUGAGCCCGAGGACCAGGCUUCCGCCCAUCAAGAAGAUCCCUGUCAUUGAGCAGAAAUGCCACUACUCUGAACUCAUCUCCACGGUACCUGGUCCUCGAGGGCAGGCAUACUUACAGGGUCCCAAGACGGAGCAGAGUUUGCUGUGCCAAGCGGGCUAUGUGCCAAACACCCCAAAAGGUCCAAUAUUAAAGCAGAAUAACCCAAAGUUUCAUCAUUGUGCCUUUAUGUCAUCUAUACAUCGACUAAGUUGUCACUUCUCCUGAAGUAAAAAAUUUGUAGAAAUUGAAAAUGCAGAAACUGUUGUCUGGAAUAGAUUCCAGUUUAUUAAAUACACUAUUUUUUAAUGUCUUAUGUGAAAAUAUAUAUUUUUAGAGCAACAUAGAGAGAAACAAGGCACAGAGACACUGCAGACACAUCCACAUGCCUAAUAAGGGCAUAAAGUUACAAUAGUACACAGGUAUGAUCAUGCAGUACUAUCUAUGAAGUUCCAAAGGGUGUCCAGUAAUUCCAAAAUUCGUCUGAAUUAUCAUGCAUAUCAAACAUUAACUAGCAAGUGAAACAUUUCAG